rnacentral:siRNA from 1 species
UGGAACUUUUCCGGGACAUGUC